CAAAUAGUGCGGUCUCUUUCUCAUUGCAGUGUUGGUUUCUUUUUAGGGCUUGGAUUCUACGGCAGUGAUCGUAAUUUUUGACCGAUAACUGCUCGUCUCAUUGGGAAUUAGGGUUUAUCGUCGGGGUUCUGUGCUCCCAUUCUUUUCUGAGGGAUCCUGCACUGACUAUUUUUGUCUUGUGGAAAUUGUCUCCUCCCCCGUUAAAUGUUGUAGAUAGAGAGCUAGCACUAGCAGAUGUAGCCUGUAAGUACUGGAAACAACUACGAGAUCAGGAACAUGGUAGUUAAGGCUACGAGUAAGGUGUGUAGUGACAGUCAAUGAGGGUAAAUGUGGAGAAAAGAACCUCUAUGUGGUAGAAGGAAUGUAAUUUGAUCAUGGCUAUAUCUCCCCCUAGGGCCCCUACUUCGUAACUGACAGUGAAAAGAUACCAGUUGAACAUGAGAAUGGCAAGUUGUCUUCUUGUUGACAAGAAAAUUACAAAUGCAAGAGAUAUGAUCAAUGUUUUGGAUGAUGCCACAAGGGGUGGUUAUCUUAUCUUGACAAUUGCUGAAGACAUUGAGCGGGAAGCUCUUGCCACCUUUGUCUUAAAUAAAUUGAGAGGGCCCUGCAGGAUUGCUGCUCUUAAAGUGCCUGGAUUUGGGGAGUGAAAAAGUCAAUAUCUUGAUGACACGAAGUGAAGAGAUGAGGUUGAACUAACAAGGCGAAAGCUAAAGUGGUGCCUACUAAAGACUCAACUACCAUAGUUGGUGACGGUAGCACCUAAGAAGAAGUAACUAAACGAGUUGGACAGAUCUGAAAAUUGAUAGAGGUGCAUAAUCAAUGACUUGGUCACAUAUACAGAGGAUGAUUUUAGAUAUCUUUGUGAGAAUGUUCUCAUCUGUUUCUUUACUCAAGCCGCUGAACAUGAAUACGAAGGAAAAGUAAAUAAGAGAAUUGUUAGAAUAAGUUUAUUGGGUAUUGGGUUAAUGGGCUGUGACCCGUUAACCAUACUCCUCUUUGUAUGCAUAUAUAUAUGUAUUCUUAACUAUCUUAAUGACUCAAUUGAUUAGGGUUUUUGAUCCUUCAACAUGGUAUCAGAGCGAUACCCUCCAAACCCUAACCCUUGUUCUUAAAAAAAAAAAAAGUACUAACCUUCUCUGCUCUCCUCCGCUCCGCAACCGGACUUCACCACCCUCCAAACCCUAACCCUCGACGACGGUGCCGGAGUCUCUUCGAGCUGCUCACCACCGCCCUGCGUUUAGUUCUCAUCGCCGCCAUCAAAAAAAAAAAAAAA